rnacentral:rRNA from 1 species
GCUCAUUAAAUCAGUUAUCGUUUAUUUGAUAGUACCUUACUACUUGGAUAACCGUGGUAAUUCUAGAGCUAAUACAUGCUAAAAACCCCAACUUCGGGAGGGGUGUAUUUAUUAGAUAAAAAACCAAUGCCCUUCGGGGCUCCUUUGGUGAUUCAUGAUAACUUCUCAGAUCGCAUGGCUUUACGCCGGCGACGGUUCAUUCAAAUUUCUGCCCUAUCAACUUUCGAUGGUAAGGUAUUGGCUUACCAUGGUUUCAACGGGUAACGGGGAAUUAGGGUUCGAUUCCGGAGAGGGAGCCUGAGAAACGGCUACCACAUCCAAGGAAGGCAGCAGGCGCGCAAAUUACCCAAUUCCGAUACGGAGAGGUAGUGACAAUAAAUACUGAUACAGGGCUCUUUUGGGUCUUGUAAUUGGAAUGAGUACAAUUUAAACCUCUUAACGAGGAACAAUUGGAGGGCAAGUCUGGUGCCAGCAGCCGCGGUAAUUCCAGCUCCAAUAGCGUAUAUUAAAGUUGUUGCAGUUAAAAAGCUCGUAGUUGAACCUUUGGCCUGGCUGGCAGGUCCGCCUCACCGCGUGCACUUGUCCGGCCGGGCCUUUUCUUCUGGAGAACCGCAUGCCCUUCACUGGGUGUGUUGGGGACCAGGACUUUUACUUUGAAAAAAUUAGAGUGUUCAAAGCAGGCCUUUGCUCGAAUACGUUAGCAUGGAAUAAUAGAAUAGGACGUGCGGUCCUAUUUUGUUGGUUUCUAGGACCGCCGUAAUGAUUAAUAGGGACAGUCGGGGGCAUCAGUAUUCAAUUGUCAGAGGUGAAAUUCUUGGAUUUAUUGAAGACUAACUACUGCGAAAGCAUUUGCCAAGGAUGUUUUCAUUAAUCAGUGAACGAAAGUUAGGGGAUCGAAGACGAUCAGAUACCGUCGUAGUCUUAACCAUAAACUAUGCCGACUAGGGAUCGG